UUUUAGUGGUAUCAGAGCAAUGGUUUUAAAGUGAAUUUUGAACUGUGAAUUUGAAAUCUUUUUGUCGGUAACUACAACUGCUCAAAUGUUUGAUACAUAUAGUACAUUUACAUCAUAAAUAUGAACUAAUGGAGAGGAAUCUCCUUAUGUUGGUUGUACAGGAAUAGACAAUAUUGUGAAAAGAUAUGGAAGAGAAGAAUGAGACAAUAGAACAGUCUGUGAUGGCAGAAGAACAAGUUGAGGCCCCAGCUCCACAAAGUGUCGAAGGUCUGACUGUACCAGUUUUACCGGUACAAAUUACUGCACAAAUGGCCCAACAAAUGGCCACUUUCUUUCAACAACUGGCUAAUAAUCUGUCAGCCCAAGCCCAAGUACAGACCCAACCCCCACAAGGGCAGUGUGAAAUGGAAAAAAGGGAGAAACCUAUGGGUCAGAGCUCGAACAGUAAUUUGAGAAAGAGAAAAGAAUUUGAGGAACCCCGAGCUCAGGGAUACGAUAGAGAUGGAUCAUUAAGACAGAAACCACUAAGGUCCAGUCAUCGAACAACUAGAAGUUCCUACCCUCCCCGCCAAUGUGAAACUUGUGGAAGAUAUCAUGGUGGGAUAUGCUAUAAGGCCUUUGGAGCCUGCUACAAUUGUGGAAAACUUGGACACUUUGCUAAAGAUUGUACUAAACCACCUCGAUCUGCUCUCCGGAGUUCACAGACCGUCAGUCAGAGUCAAGAUAGAAAUAGAGUUGGUACUCCUCACCACUAUAACACAGUGAAUCAACCCGAAUAUAGUAGCGCACCAGUCAGAGCGUCCACUAUGCGCCAAGGAGAAAGAGCAGAAACUUCAGAUGUAGCUGCUGCUUGGGAAGUGUUAUGGCAGCAAAAAGAAGCACGAUUGGUGAGGUUUUAGCAAGCUCUAACAAGAGUUAGUAAAGACUCAGGGAAAGGGAAGGAAACACUGAGUCCAGACCAGGAGACAGUCAUCAGAGGUAAGAAGAGCAUAGAGCAGUAAGUAAAUUUCCUUGAAGAUAUAUUCAGAUCAGCUCCAGGUAUAUCAUAGGUAUACCCAUGUACAUAGGUUUUGAUGUAUGCAUGUAAUAAUAUGUAUAUAAAUUAUUUGAGCAGUUGUAUAGAAACUCUUGUAAAAUAUUUUGGUAUGUAAUUAAAUGUAAAUUAUUGUAAAUGUAAAUUUGAGAUUUCAUUUACUUGAAUAGUUUUGUAUUA